AAAUUGAAGAGUUUGAUCAUGGCUCAGAUUGAACGCUGGCGGCAGGCCUAACACAUGCAAGUCGAACGGUAACAGGAAGCAGCUUGCUGCUUCGCUGACGAGUGGCGGACGGGUGAGUAAUGUCUGGGAAACUGCCUGAUGGAGGGGGAUAACUACUGGAAACGGUAGCUAAUACCGCAUAACGUCGCAAGACCAAAGAGGGGGACCUUCGGGCCUCUUGCCAUCAGAUGUGCCCAGAUGGGAUUAGCUUGUUGGUGGGGUAACGGCUCACCAAGGCGACGAUCCCUAGCUGGUCUGAGAGGAUGACCAGCCACACUGGAACUGAGACACGGUCCAGACUCCUACGGGAGGCAGCAGUGGGGAAUAUUGCACAAUGGGCGCAAGCCUGAUGCAGCCAUGCCGCGUGUAUGAAGAAGGCCUUCGGGUUGUAAAGUACUUUCAGCGGGGAGGAAGGGAGUAAAGUUAAUACCUUUGCUCAUUGACGUUACCCGCAGAAGAAGCACCGGCUAACUCCGUGCCAGCAGCCGCGGUAAUACGGAGGGUGCAAGCGUUAAUCGGAAUUACUGGGCGUAAAGCGCACGCAGGCGGUUUGUUAAGUCAGAUGUGAAAUCCCCGGGCUCAACCUGGGAACUGCAUCUGAUACUGGCAAGCUUGAGUCUCGUAGAGGGGGGUAGAAUUCCAGGUGUAGCGGUGAAAUGCGUAGAGAUCUGGAGGAAUACCGGUGGCGAAGGCGGCCCCCUGGACGAAGACUGACGCUCAGGUGCGAAAGCGUGGGGAGCAAACAGGAUUAGAUACCCUGGUAGUCCACGCCGUAAACGAUGUCGACUUGGAGGUUGUGCCCUUGAGGCGUGGCUUCCGGAGCUAACGCGUUAAGUCGACCGCCUGGGGAGUACGGCCGCAAGGUUAAAACUCAAAUGAAUUGACGGGGGCCCGCACAAGCGGUGGAGCAUGUGGUUUAAUUCGAUGCAACGCGAAGAACCUUACCUGGUCUUGACAUCCACAGAACUUUCCAGAGAUGGAUUGGUGCCUUCGGGAACUGUGAGACAGGUGCUGCAUGGCUGUCGUCAGCUCGUGUUGUGAAAUGUUGGGUUAAGUCCCGCAACGAGCGCAACCCUUAUCCUUUGUUGCCAGCGGUCCGGCCGGGAACUCAAAGGAGACUGCCAGUGAUAAACUGGAGGAAGGUGGGGAUGACGUCAAGUCAUCAUGGCCCUUACGACCAGGGCUACACACGUGCUACAAUGGCGCAUACAAAGAGAAGCGACCUCGCGAGAGCAAGCGGACCUCAUAAAGUGCGUCGUAGUCCGGAUUGGAGUCUGCAACUCGACUCCAUGAAGUCGGAAUCGCUAGUAAUCGUGGAUCAGAAUGCCACGGUGAAUACGUUCCCGGGCCUUGUACACACCGCCCGUCACACCAUGGGAGUGGGUUGCAAAAGAAGUAGGUAGCUUAACCUUAGGGAGGGCGCUUACCACUUUGUGAUUCAUGACUGGGGUGAAGUCGUAACAAGGUAACCGUAGGGGAACCUGCGGUUGGAUCACCUCCUUACCUUAAAGAA
rnacentral:rRNA from 1 species